CUAUUCUGUUCGAAAUGAAAUACAACACCCAGUUUUACAUUAACAUGUAAAAAAAAACAAAAAAAAAAAAAACUUAUAUACAUAAUGGUAUGGUAAAAAUAAAAUGAAACUAUUUUUUUUUUGGUUAGUACAAUGUGUUAUCAUAAAUGCUUAUGUUUUUAACGUAUAUAAAAAUGAGUACAUAGCUUUAAUGAAUAAAAAAAUAAACGUUACAAGUGGAAAAAGAAAAACAUAUAUAACUAAAAGUGGUAUACGAUAUAGCGACGACCAUAGUAACGGUCAUAGCAACGGUAAUAACGGCCAUAGGAACAGCUGUAACAACAAACAUGAUAACCGAUUAAACAUUUUUAAAGAAGAAGAAGUCGAAGAAAAGUAUAAUACAAUAGCUACUAUCAACAGUUUAUUAGGAAAAGUUAAAAGACAAUUCAAUAUAGAGCAUAAUUUAUCAGAAAAAAAUGGAAAAGUAAACUAUGAAAAAGCAAAUGAUAACAUGGAAAACAAUGCAAGUCGUAAAAGCAGCUUUUGUGAGUACGAGGGAGAGGAGAGCGGGCAGGAUGAGCAAAAAACACAGAACAAACAUACCGAAUUGCAAACUAUUUUUGGGAGCAUGUUAGAUGGUAGAUUCAAAAUAGGAAGGGCAAACACGAUAUUCAAAGAACUGAAAGAAGAAAAAAAAAAGAUAGACAUCCAAUACAAAGCCAUGAUAAACAGAAAGAUAUUUUUACGAAAGCAACAAUUUAAAAAGUUAGAAGAUGAUGUAAAAAAUGAUAAAUUUAAAUCGAUAUAUAAUGAAGAACAGCAGUUAUUUUUACAGAAGGUGUUAAAGGAACAAGAAGAAGCAAUAGAAAAAAUCAUAAAAGAAAUCGAAAAAGUAGAAAAAAAUAAUUAUUUAAUAAUUGAUGAGAAAAAUAAGUUAUUAGUAAAAUUAAGACAAGAUAUACAUAAAGUUAUAUCUGAUAUUAAUCUAAAAUACCAAGAAGAAGCAAUAAAGUUAGGUAUAAAAAAAAUAAUGGAUAAAAAUUAUGAACAAAACAAAACACCAUUAGUAUGGGAUUUAACACAAAUGGAUUGGCCUAGGGCUAUUUAUCCAUUAAUUAAUAAUUUAAAAAUCAAAACAAAUAUAUAUUGGGAGUCAGAUGUAAUUGGUGGUAAUCGUGAAGAAAAUGAAUUUUUUUUUACACCAUAUAAUUUACCUAGUUUAGGUGAAAAAAAAAAAAAAAGAAAAGGAAGAGGAGUAGGGAGUAAACAUGGUGGGUCGUGUGGACGUGGAAUGAAAGGACAAAGAAGUAGAAGUGGGGGCUCAUUACCAAAAGGUUUUGAAGGAGGGCAAACUCCUUUAUAUAGAAAGUUACCAAAAUUUGUAUCGUCACCAUUAGGACCAGGGCAUCGAUUUAAUAGGUAUAAAUAUGAAUUGAUACCAUU
rnacentral:lncRNA from 1 species